ensembl:lncRNA
AAUGCUCCAAGUGUGUUCUGCCAUGAUGGAAUAGAGUGGACUGUUACUUUGCUCUGAAAACUGUGUAUCUGGAACACAGCCUCAGGUGGCAUUUGCCUUAGUGGUAGCGCCAUCACGUCUCUGCUUCAUGCUGAACUAUUAACAGCCAAGCAGUCUUUUUCACUAAUGCUAUUGUUUUGUCACAUCUUUCCCUCCUACACAACAUAAUGUUUAAGAAUAUGAGCUUUGAGAAGAACUGAGUAGAAAUUUCUACCCUGAGUAGAAAUUUUUUCAAAGAGAGAAUACAGAUGGCCAACAGGUAUACGAAAAGAUGUUCAACAUAGCUCAUCGUCAGGGAAAUGCAAAUCGAAACUACAGUGGGUAAGACAUGUACCUAAGGCCUUGGAAUCAGACUGCCAGAUGUGGAUCCUAGCUGAAUUUACUGGAUAUAGAUUUCCAGAUGGGUUACCCAUAGUAGAAGGGGCUUCCCAGGAAGCUCAAAUGGUAAAGAAUUUGCUUGCAAUGCUGGACACCUGGGUUCGAUCCCUGGGUCAGGAAGAUCCCCUAGAGAAGGGCAUGGCAACCCACUCCAGUAUUCUUGCCUGGACAAUCCCAUGGACAGAGGAGCCUGGCGGGCUACAGUCCAUGGACAAAGAGUCGGACACAACUGAGCAACAAACAUACAUUCAUAGCAGAACAGAAGAAUUGUGUU